rnacentral:piRNA from 1 species
UCCAUGGGGUGGGGGGUGAGUCACAGCA